CAUGUGGUCUAUCACAUGCUCCCUAGCUCCUUGUGGGACUAGCCUCGUUUUCUUCUUUCCUCUGUUGGCAAAGGAUGGUGAAGAUAGAAAACUACUUCUGCUGUCUUGGGAGAUGUCAGCUCUGGACCUCUAAGUGGUUGAUGUCUGCCAAUGCUGACUGACUGGCUGUAAACUGUAUCUGCACCUUUUCUUAAUCUUCUGACAAAAGGUCUUUGGAAAGACGUGGCAUGUUGGUGCAGUAUUUUACACAUUGCAGUGGAUGUGCACAAGACAUAACAGCAAAUCCAAUGCUCGUGACUGCCACUGAUAACAGUGGGAGGUAUAGAGAUGAGAGAAACCUUUUUGCAAUCACCACCAUUUUUCUCUCUGCUCCAGCAGGUGCAUAAGGGAGAAGAUACUGGGUAUGGAUUCUUAAUAAACUGUGAUAGUUUUAAUAAAUUUAAA